GCUGCCGCCCCUGGCCUGCCAGGACCCAGAGGGAGCGGAGCACGCGCCUUUGGGAAUCUUCGGUGCGCCAAGUCUGUUCGCCGCCGGGGUCUAUCACCCCCGCCCCUCGCCUCUGCCCGUGAGCGUCAGCUGGCUUGGCUUUUUCAGAGGAAACAGAGACUCUCAGACAUGAAUACUGUGACACUGACCACCAGGCCAACUUAACAUCAGCAGAUAUCCUGUCUCAGAUGAAGAGAAUGGCCUGUCCAGAAGACAGCCAAAUACAUCCUUCAAACAGACUUCACUGCAGGAGACAGAGUGGAUUCAUCCUGUAUUCUCCAUGUAGACUUCCAUCUUCAUGAGUACUCCAAGAAGAUGGUUCAGUUGACUAUUGCAAAGUCUCAGGUAUGUCUUUAUCAGCAGCAUGAAAAUGGACUAAUAGUACCAGUAGAGUGGGGCAUUGCUGAAAAGAUACCCGAAAAUGUGGAAGCAACUUUGGAACUGGGUGUUGAAAUAAUCUGGAGGGCUCAGAAGAAGAUAGGAAAAUGUAGGAAAGUUUGGAACCUCCUAGAGACUGUGAAUGGCAUUGACAAAAAUACUGAUAGUGAUAUGAACAAUAAGGUCCAGGCUGAGGUGGUCUCAGAUGGAGAUGAAGACCUUGUUGGGAACUGAAGUAAAGGUGACCCUUGUUAUGUUUUAGCAAGGAGACUGGCAGCAUUUCACCCUUGCCCUAGAGAUUUGUGGAACUUAGAGCUUGAGAGAGAUGACUUAGGGUAUCUGGUGGAAUAAAUUUCUAAGCAGCAAAGCAUUCAAAAGGUGACUUGGGUGCUGUUAAAAACAUUCUGUUUUAAAAGGGAAACAAGAGCAUAAAUGUGGAAAAUCUGCAGCCUGAUGAUGCAGUAGAAAAGAAAAACCCAUUUUUUUUAAGGAGAAAUUCAAGCUGGCUGCAG
rnacentral:lncRNA from 1 species